rnacentral:rRNA from 1 species
GGGAACGUACCCUUUAGUACGGAAUAACCCAGGGAAACUUGGGCUAAUACCGUAUGACUCCUUCGGGAGAAAGAUUUAUCGCUAAAGGAACGGCCCGCGUCUGAUUAGGUAGUUGGUGAGGUAACGGCUCACCAAGCCAACGAUCAGUAGCUGGUCUGAGAGGAUGAUCAGCCACACUGGGACUGAGACACGGCCCAGACUCCUACGGGAGGCAGCAGUGGGGAAUAUUGGACAAUGGGGGCAACCCUGAUCCAGCCAUGCCGCGUGAGUGAAGAAGGCCUUCGGGUUGUAAAGCUCUUUCGGCGGGGACGAUGAUGACGGUACCCGCAUAAGAAGCCCCGGCAAACUUCGUGCCAGCAGCCGCGGUAAUACGAAGGGGGCUAGCGUUGUUCGGAAUUACUGGGCGUAAAGCGCGCGUAGGCGGUGAUCUUUGUCAGAGGUGAAAGCCUGGGGCUCAACUCCAGAAUUGCCUUUGAAACGGGAU